rnacentral:rRNA from 1 species
AUUGAACGCUGGCGGCAGGCUUAACACAUGCAAGUCGAGCGGAUGAAGGGAGCUUGCUCCUGGAUUCAGCGGCGGACGGGUGAGUAAUGCCUAGGAAUCUGCCUGGUAGUGGGGGAUAACGUCCGGAAACGGGCGCUAAUACCGCAUACGUCCUGAGGGAGAAAGUGGGGGAUCUUCGGACCUCACGCUAUCAGAUGAGCCUAGGUCGGAUUAGCUAGUUGGUGGGGUAAAGGCCUACCAAGGCGACGAUCCGUAACUGGUCUGAGAGGAUGAUCAGUCACACUGGAACUGAGACACGGUCCAGACUCCUACGGGAGGCAGCAGUGGGGAAUAUUGGACAAUGGGCGAAAGCCUGAUCCAGCCAUGCCGCGUGUGUGAAGAAGGUCUUCGGAUUGUAAAGCACUUUAAGUUGGGAGGAAGGGCAGUAAGUUAAUACCUUGUUGUUUUGACGUUACCAACAGAAUAAGC